rnacentral:misc_RNA from 1 species
UUACCAAAGAAUAUCUACGGAGUGUGGUGGAUAAUAUAGUCAAAAAAGUCAGUGACGAAUAUGAUCGAACCAUAUCAGACUUCAAAAAAGAUAUUUUAGAAUUAAAACAGGUAAACUGUGGCAUAAUAUCUCGAAUCGACGAUAUCGAGCAAAUAUCUAGGAAUGGAAAUAUUAGAUAUUUUGGAAAAUCUGAGGAGGCUGAAUCUGAUGAAAACUACCAUGGAUAAGCUGCCUAAAAAAGAUGUAUGAGCAACGGGAUCACUUUUGCGACGUAUGAUAACAGAAUUCAUCGCAUAAAGGAUGGCAGUGAUAUCACACAAAGUAAUAGAUGCAUUCAACGAUGAUGGCAUUUUCACAUUUCCCAACAUACCUACCAGGAAUGCGACCUAUAAAUCCGGGUCACGAUAUAC